GCGGCGAUAGCUCAGAGGGAAAGCGACAGGUGAGAAGAUGGCGACUCUUAUCCGCGCGGGUUCGAAUCCCGCCUGUGGCA